AUGGCCCCUCUCUCCACCCAUCACUCCCAAUCUCGGCAUCACCAUCCCCCACUCCGCGGUGUUCCCAACGCCGCUGCUAGCCCGAAAUCGCUGUAGCAAAGUGAGAAGCUAGAACACCGACAGCGUUAACAUAGCCAGUGCCAACGAGUUUGAAGAUACCUGAACAAAAUAAGGAAUUUAGAUAACAGCAUUUGUCCAUCAGACAUUGAUUUGCAUAUCCACUCCCACCUCUUCCUCAUUUGCAUACAGCGAGAAUGGCGAGCGGGCACCCCACUGACAAAUACAGUUUCAUGUACCAACCAGACACGCACAAGAGUAAGAACAGAUUAUCCAGCAGUAUGAAUCCUGUCUACAGUCCUGUUCAGCCUGGAGCUCCCUACGGUAACCCCAAGAACAUGGCCUA